CCUACGGGAGGCAGCAGUGGGGAAUAUUGCACAAUGGGGGAAACCCUGAUGCAGCGACGCCGCGUGAGUGAAGACGUAUCUCGGUACGUAAAGCUCUAUCAGCAGGAAAGAAAAUGACGGUACCUGACUAAGAAGCCCCGGCUAACUACGUGCCAGCAGCCGCGGUAAUACGUAGGGGGCAAGCGUUAUCCGGAUUUACUGGGUGUAAAGGGAGCGUAGACGGCGCUGCAAGUCCGGAGUGAAAGCCCAUGGCUUAACCAUGGUACUGCUCUGGAAACUGUUGAGCUUGAGUGCGGGAGGGGCAUGCGGAAUGCCUAGUGUAGCGGUGAAAUGCGUAGAUAUUAGGAGGAACACCGGCGGCGAAGGCAGCCUGCUGGACCGUAACUGACGUUGAUGCUCGAAAGCGUGGGUAGCAAACAGGAUUAGAUACCCCAGUAGUC
rnacentral:rRNA from 1 species